rnacentral:piRNA from 1 species
UCCCAAUUGCUUCCCCGCCCUUGGAUC